rnacentral:rRNA from 1 species
GAAGAAGCAAAAUAAGGGCGCAUGGGGAAUGCCUAUGGCUCUCAGCGGCGAAGAAGGACGUGAUAAGCUGCGUAAAGGCUAGGGGAGUGGCACAUACACAUUGAUCCUAGCAUGUCCGAAUGGGGCAACCCACCCUAAGUGAUUAGGGUAUCCGAAAGGAGGCAAACGGGGGGAACUGAAACAUCUAAGUACCCCUAGGAAGAGAAAACAACAGUGAUUCCGUAAGUAGUGGCGAGCGAACGCGGACAAGCCCAAACCGAUGACGUUACGGCGUUAUAGGGGUUAUAGGACUGAUUUUUAAGAACUACAUGAAGAUGAAUUGUCUGGGAAGGCAAACCGGAGCGGGUGAGAGUCCCUUAAUUGUAAGGUGUAGAACUGUAUCAGGAUCCUGAGUAGGUGGGGACAGGAGGAAUCCCCUCUGAAUUCGGCGGCACCAUCCGCCAAGGCUAAAUACGACUGAGAGACCGAUAGUGAACGAGUACCGUGAGGGAAAGGUGAAAAGAACCGGGAGUACCGGGGUGAAAUAGAACCUGAAACCAUGCGCUUACAAGCGGAGGGAGCCUAUGGGUGACCUCGUGCCUUUUGCAUAAUGAGCCUACGAGUUGUUCUUACUAGCGAGGUUAAUGUUUUAAGGACAGGAGCCGAAGCGAAAGCGAGUCUGAAAAGGGCGUUUAGUUAGUGAGAGCAGACGCGAAACUUGGUGAUCUAUCCGUGGUCAGGUUGAAGUGUGGGUAACACUGCAUGGAGGACCGAACCAGUUAACGUUGAAAAGUUUUUGGAUGAACUGCGGAUAGGGGUGAAAGGCCAAUCAAACUGAGAAAUAGCUCGUACUCCCCGAAAUGUUUUUAGGAACAGCGUUGUGGGGCGUUUAUGUCAGGUAGAGCUACUGAUAGGAUGCGGGGGAGUCAAAUCCUACCAAAUUCUGACAAACUCCGAAUGGGCAUAAACAGACACAGCAGUGAGGGCCGGGGUGCUAAGGUCACGGUCCGAGAGGGGAACAACCCAGAGCAACCGCUAAGGUCCCUAAGUAUAUACUAAGUUGAACAAAGGAAGUCUGACUGCCGAGACAGCCAGGAUGUUAGCUUGGAAGCAGCUAUACAUUUAAAGAGUGCGUAACAGCUCACUGGUCGAGCGGGGCGGGCGUCGAUAAUAAACGGGCAUCAAGUAUAUCACCGAAGCGAUGCGAUUAGUAAUAAUCGGUAGGGGAGCAUUCUAACGUCAGCNNNNNNNNNNNNNNNNNNNNNNNNNNNNNNNNNNNNNNNNNNNNNNNNNNNNNNNNNNNNNNNNNNNNNNNNNNNNNNNNNNNNNNNNNNNNNNNNNNCGAAGUUGUAGCGUGAGCUAUGGUGGAGAUUUUAGAAAAGCAAAUGUAGGCAUAAGUAACGACAAUGUAUGUGAGAACCAUACACACCGUAAAGCUAAGGAUUCCUCAGCUAUGUCAAUCAACUGAGGGUUAGUCGGGGCCUAAGGGGAAGGCGAAGGCCGCACCUGACGGACAGCAGGUUAAUAUUCCUGCACCUGAUACAAGUGUGAAGCGUACGGGGUAGGGGAGAGAGUACGAAGUGACGGAAGUCUUCGUUGAGCGGCGUUUACGGACAAAGCGAACUUUUGAACUGGCCUCCAAGAAAAAGCGCUGAAACAUCAGCUUGUAUUAGCCCGUACCGUAAACCGACACAGGUAGCUGGGUAGAAUAUACCAAGGUGCUCAAGUGAAUCACGGUUAAGGAACUCGGCAAAUUAGUCCUGUAACUUCGGGAGAAGGGACACUCUGGCGCGAGCUAGAGUCGCAGAGAAAUGGCCCAGGCGACUGUUUAACAAAAACACAGGGCAACGCAAAGUGGAGACACGACGUAUGUUGCCUGACACCUGCCCGGUGCUGGAAGGUUAAGAGGGGAGCUUAGCGCAAGCGAAGGUUUGAAUCGAAGCCCCAGUAAACGGCGGCCGUAACUAUAACGGUCCUAAGGUAGCGAAAUUCCUUGUCGGGUAAGUUCCGACCUGCACGAAUGGUGUAACGAUCUGGGCACUGUCUCAACCGUGAGCUUGGUGAAAUUGUAGUAGCGGUGAAGAUGCCGCUUACCCGUCACGGGACGGAAAGACCCCGUGCACCUUUACUACAACUUUGCGUUGGAUAUGGGAUAUGAAUGUGUAGGAUAGGUGGGAGGCUAUGAAGUGGAUUCGUCAGGAUUCAUGGAGCCAACGUUGAAAUACCACCCUUUUGUAUUCUGUGUUCUAACUUAUUAUUGAGGACCGCGCAUGGUGGGUAGUUUGACUGGGGUGGUCGCCUCCAAAAGAGUAACGGAGGCUUCCAAAGGUUAGCUCAUGACGGACGGUAAUCGUCAGGGGAGUGCAAAAGCACAAGCUAGCUUGACUGUGAGACCGACGGGUCGAUCAGGUGGGAAACCAGGGUUUAGUGAUCCGGUGGUUGCGCAUGGGUGUGCCAUCGCUCAAAGGAUAAAAGGUACGCCGGGGAUAACAGGCUGAUCAUCCCCAAGAGCUCACAUCGACGGGAUGGUUUGGCACCUCGAUGUCGGCUCGUCACAUCCUGGGGCUGGAGAAGGUCCCAAGGGUUCGGCUGUUCGCCGAUUAAAGUGGCACGCGAGCUGGGUUCAGAACGUCGUGAGACAGUUCGGUCCCUAUCUGUGAUGGGCGUAGGAAGUUUGACGGGGGCUGACCUUAGUACGAGAGGACCGGGUUGGACUCACCUCUGGUGAAUCGGUUGUUACGCCAGUAGCAUGGCCGAGUAGCUACGUGGGCAACAGAUAAGCGCUGAAAGCAUCUAAGUGCGAAACUGGCCUGAAGAUGAGACUUCCACAUAAGGGACGUUGUAGACGACGACGUUGAUAGGCUGCAAGUGUAAAGGUGGUGACAUCAAAGCUGAGCAGUACUAAUUGCCCAAUAGCUUCUUUGU